AAGCCGCGAAUGGCUCAUUACAACAGCCUUAGUUUAUUUGAUCUUGAAAUCCUACUUGGAUAACUGUGGUAAUUCUAGAGCUAAUACACGCUAAAAAGCUUCAGUCUUUCGACCGAGGCGCAUUUAUUAGUACAAAACCAAUCGGGCCUUGUGCCCGUUGUUUGGUGAAUCUGAAUAACUAAGCCGAUCGUACGGUCUCUGCACCGGCGACGUAUCAUUCAAGUGUCUGCCCUAUCAACUUUCGAUGGUAGUUUAUAUGACUACCAUGGUUAUAACGGGUAACGGAGAAUAAGGGUUCGACUCCGGAGAAGCAGCCUGAGAAACGGCUACUACAUCCAAGGAAGGCAGCAGGCGCGCAAAUUACCCAAUCUCAGCAAGAGGAGGUAGUGACGAGAAAUAACGAGGCGAUGCCCUUAUGGGGCUCGCUAUCGGAAUGAGAACAAUUUAAAACCUUUAACGAGGAUCUAGCGGAGGGCAAGUCUGGUGCCAGCAGCCGCGGUAAUUCCAGCUCCGCUAGUGUAUACCACGAGUACUGCCGUUAAAAAGCUCGUAGUUGGAUCUGCGGCAAUGGGUGUAGGUCCACCUGAUGGGUGCGUACUUACAUCCGUGCCUAUUUUGUCAGUAUUUCACUGUGUUCUCUUCAUCGGGCGCGCAGUGAGACUGACGCUUUUACCUUGAGAAAAUUGGAGUGCUCAGAACAGGCGUCUGCCUGAACAGUUGUGCAUGGAAUAAUGGAAUAGGAUCUUGGUUCUAUUUUGUUGGUUUUAGGGAUUGAGAUAAUGAUUA
rnacentral:rRNA from 1 species